rnacentral:rRNA from 1 species
UACGUAGGGUGCGAGCGUUAAUCGGAAUUACUGGGCGUAAAGCGUGCGCAGGCGGUUUUGUAAGCCAGAUGUGAAAUCCCCGGGCUCAACCUGGGAACUGCAUUUGUGACUGCAUCGCUGGAGUGCGGCAGAGGGGGAUGGAAUUCCGCGUGUAGCAGUGAAAUGCGUAGAUAUGCGGAGGAACACCGAUGGCGAAGGCAAUCCCCUGGGCCUGCACUGACGCUCAUGCACGAAAGCGUGGGAGCAACAGG